rnacentral:lncRNA from 10 species
GAAGCUUCUUCAUGUUUUCCCUCUUUUCUUUAAUAAGAAAUAUUACACUUCAUUGGCUCUCUUGUCUCUGGUGUUCAAUUUCUACCAUAUUCGUUCCUAUUGUCUUUGUGUCUGAAUAUUUCUGCUGCACUUUAAGAGUAAUUACCAUUUGUCUUUCAAAUUAUUUAUUUGAUUUUCAGAAUUAUCAAUUCACUUCUGAACUUUUUACUGCUAGUAAUUUUCUUUCUGAAAUUGCUUUUUAGUUUCCUAAUAUGGUAGUCAUUGAGGCUGUUCACAUGUUUUUAGUUUUGUUUUGUUUUGUUUUUUAGGUUGUAGAGAAGGUACUGUUCCCAUUGAAAUCAGUAACGGCCAUGUGACCUGAUUCGACUCAUGAAAUCGUGGACUUUUUCAUAGUCUCAAUGGGAUGUUUAUCUAAAAUGCAUACAUUCCUAAAUGAAGAGUGCCCUUGUCUUCACUGUAUAUUGUGUUAUUGUUAGAACUUUCAAACAUGCUAAAGAAGCUGAUAAGUCUAAGUUCACAUCAAUAAUUACAUUAUUCAACAACCUGAGAGAAGUGAAGCCAGGUUGAGUGUAGUCCCAGUAGAGAGAUGUUUUCUAUGUUCUCUUUCUUUUGUGUUUAGUAAAGGUACUUCACCAGAGGUCAAUUUUCUGUACCAAUUUCUGUUUGGCUGGAGCAGAUUCCAGCUGUGUCUGUGCUUGGUCUCCCACCUGAUGCCACCACAUCAAAGGGAAGCCCAUAUUACACUGGAAACAAGGCCCUGCUUCCCUGCUGAGUUUUGUGUUUUGUGACGUUCCCAAGCAAAAUUCGAAAUCUUCCUGUUUCAAUUUUUGUAAUGUGUAUCAUUAAAAUAAUACUCUCACAUGUGAAUAAAUCAAAUACUAAGAUUAGCCUAUCCUAAUUUCUAUACCUCCUACCCCCAUACGUGUUUAAACCUGUAGUCCCACUCUCCAGGAGAAACCUCUUUUUUUUUAUUGGUAAUAUAGGUGUUAAUUUUUGAUAUUUUUAAUAUCUCAAAUAAAGAAAAAGAAAGAAAGAAAGUAAAAUUACUUGUUAAAAAUCAGUUCAAAUUAAAAUUCACUAUAAUGGUUAAAACAGCUAACAUGUAUUGAAUGAUUAUGCUCUAGGCACUGUGGAAAAACCUCUUUAACAUGUUCCUGUUACCUCCAAAAUACUAGAUAAUAAACUUACAUCUCUGUAACUUUAUUUAAACACUCCGG